AAAUUGUAGGAGAUCUUGCAAGUACCAAAGGAAAGUAGAAAGGUUUCAAGAAUAAUUAAAGCCAGUCAAACUUUUGACUGUUGAUUUUUGUGUAAUCAAGAGUUUAGAGAAGAAGUUGUAGGUACAAGUUCUUGAUGUGCAUGGAAAUCAUAAGCAUCUGGAUAGGAGUUUU